rnacentral:lncRNA from 1 species
AUUAAGUAUUUGUUGAACAGCUUUACUCGGAUAAGCAAGACUCAGUGCGUAAAUAUCGACUUGCGAGUUCCGUUCCAGAAGGGAAGUCCACAAGAAAGAAGCUGUUUCAAGGAGGAGUCUCCCGGGACAUAAAUCCUAGUUUAGAGCCAACACCAAUAAGUACUCUCAAUUAGGGUUCUUCGGCGCUAAGAUCUUUGACUGCAAGAUGAUCUUAAUGUAAAGAGUAAGUAGUGAGUGGUUCAAUUCUUUACACGACGGAUCCUCAGUAUAAUCUUAAGGUAGCUAGAUCCGGAGUAGGAACUGGAUUGGAAGCUUCAGAUAGAUUAGAUGCCCCCCCUAACUCUAAAAGCAAGUGGACUACAUAGUUUCACUCCCGAAAAAACUAGUGGAAUUCCUUGUUUCCAGCGACCAGAGAAUCCGCUGUAGAAAAGAAAGGCUCCAUAAAAGAUUGACUCGGGUGGCAAGAAAGAAUCAAGUAUUUGUUGCGGAAGCCCUCAACUCUCAAUCCGAAGUAAAAGCCAAGCCAAGCCCUAUUUGCCCUGACUUCUAAAACGAGGUUCAGUAUAGCUCUCCAUAAACCGAAUCUCAUGCCCACUCAUAGGUUAAGUUGUUAGCGUUAGUAGUGUAAGCGUAAGGAGCUUCUGCACUACGAUCUUUUCCUGGUUGACUUCUCAAUUCCUGCCUGGUUGCGAGAUGAGAUCUCCAUUCCUAUAUUCUUGUAUGACAUGCGUGAGAUAGAGAUUCAUUUCAUGAUUGUUUGCCCCAUAUAGUAAGUGACUCAACUGGACCAACAAGAACAAGUGCUAACGUCCGGUGAGUUAAGAGCAACGUCAUCUAAGAAUUACAGCUAUCUCUGGAGUGGGUAAAGAAAAGAAGCUGGAUAUGGGUGCAUUAGUAGUAGUGAGUGACUUCUUUAUAAUCAGAAUCGAGUUUACCGGUACCGGGUAGUUAAUGACUUUUAGUUCCUUCCUUUCUUUGCCUUUGUAUACGUUGCUUGGCCCUGGCAGCCUGGAUUUUCUAUACUGGUUUUUUACUUGAACGAUACUUGCAUGGAAUCAGACGAAGAUAAGCUGGGACUGGAUCUUUACCUAGAAUACUGUUUCUUUCCUCUUUCUUUCCAAAGAACCUUUCUUGCUAAAGGUCAAUUGAAUUUGAUUAAGAAAUACAGGAAGGUGAGCUUACCAAACGAGCACUUUGGACUCUGCAGGCCCUGUCCUGGUUGGAAGUAGAUUCUCAAUAAGGAAUCCAUGAACUAUGAAUUUGAAAGCGGAAUCCGGCCUCAAAGCGAUCAUCUGCUAGGGCUAUUUUGGAUAUGAUGGAUGGGUGGGGGGUUUCAAAAUGACGGAUUUUAGAGUGCACAACUUCUGUAAAGAGAAGAAAAGCUUAUAAGAAACUAAACAUAUACGGCUCCACAAGAAGAAACGAAACUAAUGGGAAACUCUACUCUACAAGCAAUGUUCUAAGAGUGAGUUGGGGAGUAGCGCUUACUCCGUUCUAUGAGUUGUGCGGUAGUUUCAUGAGUUCCUGUCAACAAGCAACGGGAGUGACUCUGAGUUUCGUAUAGUAUAUAGUAGCGCUAACGCGAGUUCUUUGCCUUACUGCCUUUAGCACUUUGGCUAGAAUUGAGCUAUCUCGGUACUGUUUAAAAGAAUUGAGCUCGAGUCGUAGUAUUUCUUUAAGGAGCGGACAUGUGAAACUCUGCUAAUUGCCUAUGGAUGGGGCACCUUUCUCUUAUCUUAUUCUCGAAAAUGCCAGUGAGAAGGAAUUGCGAACAUCUCUCCCAUUCUUUCUCUUAGCGUGCCCUGCGCCGACAGCUUGCCCAUAUUGAAAAGCUGCUCUAAGGGGUAAAGGGAACAAAUGACUUGUAUAUCUAAGGGUUCCGUGAAAGAAUCACUUGCUGGUAUAUAUAAGGGUUCCGCUCAAUAAGAUUUGGAUUAGGGAAAGAAUCACUUGCUAGGGGAAAGAAUGACUUGUGGUGAAGGGAAAGAAGAACUUGUGCUUGUAUAUCUCAGGCAAAGAAUGACUCAUAUCUAUAGAAAGAAGUAGCAUAUUAUGAAAGCUAUGUGCUGAUAGUAGCAUAUUAUGAAAGCUAUGUGCUGAAGCUGCUAGUUUUUGAAUAUACACUUUGUAUAGGCCCUAUGUUAUCUUAAUCAAAGUGUCGAGACAAGAACAACUAACAGUGAAUAUUUCCUGUUUGAGAACUAUAAGGUAAGAUAAGAGAUAGGAAAGGAUCGAGGAACUCACUAGAUAAGUAAUAUGAAUAGGAAGAAACACAACGAUCCGUUACAAAUAAGGCCAAAACUGAUACUUCUCAUACUGAAACUAGGCAUCCGGAUCCUUUAUCUUAGAGAAUGACUCGCUACUGGUACUGGGAAAUAACUCUUUCGUUAUACCGGGCUCUCCCUUUACCCUAACUAGGUUCAAACGUCCCGGCAUCCAUCUUGUUUAAAAGCUUCGAAAGGUGGACCGGGCUAUUUCGAUUUCGCAGUGGGAGACGCAGCAGGUGGAGUGAUGGAAGAUUUCAAGUGGGCAAUUCUUCUCGUUAUGCCCUCUGGUUAUUCUGGUAUGGCAGAAUUGACUUCAAAUGAAUCCUCGUAACAGAAUUUACCACUUUGAAUCUCAUAAACGAGAACGAGGCCACGUGUGAUCCUCAAUGGAAGGCAUUUACCCAGAAAGAUGCGACUAAGGUAAAACCCACACCAACGGAAAUUAACCGAAACCGUAUCUCAACAGCUUGUAGAUAGGUCAAUAUCAGAUUUACGUGGGGAGUUGCUAGUUAGAGAGGGAGCACUCGGGAACAACCUGAGCAUGGGAAAUCAGAGCACUUAGGAGUGCCUACAUUCUUAGUGGAAUUUCAGGGAACAAGACAAGAGCAUAGAAAUCGACUUACGAGAAUGGCAUGAAGGGAGCUCUUAGCACGUACAUAGAAAGCGGAUUAGAACACUUAGCUAAUGAUGCUUUUGAGUAUUUGACAACAAAGAGAAGAGGUCGAGCCUCCCAUUCAGAAUAAGGAUUCCUAUGUCAUUAACUGGCGCCUUUACUUCUUGCCCCCUUGAUGUUGAAUUCUUUGAUCGGAACACAAGAGAAAUUCAUGCUGGAGAGAAUCGAAUGAUGCUGGUGGAUCUAUGACUCUUUGGGUUAGAUAUGCAGCUCAACGAGCAAGAAGUUACACAACAGGCGGAGGAGGUCUUGAAUAAGUUGGUGUCAAAGAAGCUAAGGAAAGUCAAGGGGUCGUUGGUAGACUCCGCUCUCUCUGAUGGUUAAAGAGAUUCUUUGGGAACCUGGGAAGCAAGUAAAGUCGUUCAGCUUCAAAGCUCCCAGCUUCUCGUUCUUAAUGAGUGAAACCAGUCUCAGGGCUAGUUAAGGUUGCAGAAUACAUUCAGUAAACAAGAUGAAUUUCGCUUGCACUUCAAACAUCAGAUUAUGAGUCUGCUUCCAGCUCUAAAUGAGGCAGGAUAGGAUUGUGUAACGACCCGCUAAACUCCAGAGGUUUUCUAGUAUUAAUUUCCCCCGAUCGAUUAGAGUGAGAAUAACUGUUAUUCAAUAAACAUGGUGCGGUGAGAAAGUGUUCAAUGCUUUUGAUCUAAUCGUUUGAUUGGGUUCAUCGUUUUCACUAAAACAAAACUCAGAAAGGGAAGGAAAAGGCUUACUACUCGGGGGCACAAUACUCUUUUUGAUGUUGGAAAUGGGGAGUUUCUAACACUCUAUCAAAGCCUAUGGGCAACCUAAACCCAAGGAGUGCAGAGUCCACCCAUCCAGCUCCAACGACGUAGAUAGAUUCUAAAGUUAGGUGCUAGUUUCUUAAGUGAGAUCGGCAGUCCGGGCUAUAUCGCGUUACAUUAGUUUGGCAAGACCCAGUGACAUUGUAAGUUGUUUUCUCCGCUGAUCCAAAUUACAGUCCAAAUGGAAUAGGGUGUAAUCCAGCUAUUGUUGCAACAAGGCGAUCGAAUCCUGUAUGCCAACCAAAGGUUUUUCGACUCUUCCUGUUAUAGGAACUUAAGGAGGUACGCUGCUGGUCCAGGAGAGCUCAGUAUGGUUGUCCCCAACUCUUGUUUCAUAAGUUGGUUGGCCCAGUUGUUACGCUUUCUCGUUCAUUAAGAACUGCUUUUCCUAGGUAAAGGAAGGUUGAGCCUAUAUCUUGGUGAGGCCGAGCUACAAGUGGUGUCCUGUACUGCCCUCCAACUUCUAAUAAGCCGGCAUCUUUUCCCACAAGUAAAGUGACCUACCUUUAGGGGGGAAUGCCUCCAAUGCCUUAGAUGACAAGUAUCGAGCUGCUCUAGCAACUUGCCUUUGUGUCUUUGACUACGCCUGAUGCUACUACUGGUAAUGUAAGAAGCCUUGCCUCUAAAGCCUUUGCUCCAUAGCUUUUUCCUCUACUUACGCAGGCUCCGUCGCUCCCCCCAUGACUAGUCGAUCUCCACCUAGAUGGGUAAAAGGAACGAGAGUCUUUGGCUGGGUCAGUUACUAUAUGCAAUAUCUCAAUACUAUAUGCAAUAUCUCAAUACUAUAUGAUUGAACCCGAACCUAGAUCCGACAACGGAUUGAUGACCAAAGCUAUUCUCUUUCGUGAAGCAUUAAUAAGUAAAACAGGAGAUAGCAAAUGGCAAGAUGGACUUUGGCUCUGUCUCGCUCGGGUGUCCCUAUCCCGAAGUAGCGUUCUCCUCUCCCCCUUGCAUCAUUCCAUUCAGAGCGCAUAGAUUGGAUGCUUCCCCGGGGCAGUAAGGACUGCUUGGUGAAAUUACUGACUUAUGGGGUUAGGUUAGGAUUCCAUCACUGUAAAAAGCAAGGGAGUGACACUAAGGUUGAAACUCUCUGUAGAAAGAUUGCCUAAAUUGAAGCAAAGAAGUGAUCCCCACUACGAAUGAGAUGUCGUAUACGCAAAAGAAAGCUCCGUCCGUUGCAGGCGCAUAAUCCUACUGUCAUAAGGAAUUCCAUUAACUCCAUAUUUCAGAGAUAUAAGCCUAGGAGCAAUAGACUAAAGAGGUAGGGGGCAUCAUCUGUCACAAAGUAAGUAACCAAGGGAUAAGGAAGAAAAGGCAAGGACGGGUGUGAGCAAGGAUUUAUGGCGCGGGAGUAGUCAACUUUUUGGAAGCUGUCUUUCCUUUAGCCGUCUAUCUUCUCUCAAACUAUUGGGCUAUUUAUCAGACCAUCCAAGGAAAUCGUUAGGUCUAGCGCCCCUUUCUCAGUCCAAGGGAAUGCUAAAAUGCUAUUGUUUCCAUUUCCCUUCUUAUUUCUUAGUAGAGCCUUCCAAACAAACCGAAAGAGUCAGAUUGCAAUUAGACUCCAGAAGUUUUCCCCCGCCACAGACUUGCCCUGUCUCCAUAAAGCCCCAAUAUACUUGAUUUCUUUUAGUCAUAAGAUUCCACGGAGUAAAUCAUACUUACUGCGCUUCAUUGAUGUCGGAUGGUUUGCGGAGCCCCUAGCCUCCCUCCUCCUUGAUUUCUCCUAUACAAAGCUUAGCCCAACGGAUAGUGUGUGUAUAUACCCCUUUUUCUAAAGAAAGCUGCUAAAUAGACUGGAAAUAGUCUUCAGAGUGUAUCUAGAAAGAAGGCUGCUAAAAGUAAGGGAUACUCUACUGGACGUACAGAUCUAAUUCACUCCAAUCUGCCAAAGCCAGGAACAACGAUUGGAAACUGGAAACGAAAUUUCCAUAAUGGAACUCAAUAAGAGCGGAACUGUUACUGUGCUUCAACUUUGGAUCAAGCAGAGGUAGUCCCUAAAUAGAAAAUCGAGUUGUAUAGGCUAAUUUCCCGUAUACACCACUCCCCAAGAAUUGCAUAGACUUGUGCGGGCGAUUCAAAAACGAGUCACUUAGCUCUUUGAUAAUAAGCAAGGCCUGACCUGACCACACUGCAAACUUAGCAAAUAACCCAACCUUCCAAAGCAAGAAGAGAGAAUGAACUUCACCUUUGAAAAGGACAAGCAGAUCAUCCGCUAAAAUAAGGUACCUUAUCUUUGGAGCCAGUUCUAAACAAGUCAAUCCUUCUUGAGUCAACUAAAAAGCAAACUCAGAAAGAAACACCAAACCACCCGCUUACUUAUAAGAAAGAGAAAAGAAAAGGAAGGAAAGCUAGAAUAACUCUUAAGGGAGGGAGAUCGAGCUCAGAACUCCGUAACACUAUUAACAAUUUCCAACUCAAAGGAAAGAGAUGUGAAAUAAAACUAGCACAAAAACACUUGAUUCUAAAAAGGAAAGACUCCAGAUAAUGACUAAAUGAAAAAGAUCUUUCGAGACAAACUACUAUCAUGAACAUGUCGAAGAAAGCUGGGAAAGUGAGAAGAGCUCUUAAACCCCACGUAGCUGUAUCUAGGCUAGGUUUAGAAUAUGGCUUACCCUUUUCCCCUAUUUAGAUUAUUGGUCUCUUAGAAGCUUACCCAUCUAACUUAUAAUACUGCUAACAAUAAGCCAUACUUAUAGAGAAAGGCGCCAUACUUAUAGAGAAAGGCUAUGUCCAGCUGUCUAUCCUCUUUCACUUAUCAAUCUGUCUUUCCUUGACCCACAUCUUCCUCCCUUACCUCUAGACCCAACCUCCUCCAAAUAACGACUAUCUCCCUAUUACCGUGUUGCUGGGUUACUCUCAUUUUCUUGUCUGCUUGCUACGACUACUCUAAUGAAGCUAGGAAUCACUCCACCCUAUGAGAGUUAUUUAUGAGUCUGCUUGCUACGAUCAUCUAAAUAAGCUAGGAAUCUCUCCAUCCUAUGAGAGUGAUUUAGAUAGGUGGUAUAUUACAAGGAGUGAUGAAAGUGUGUCAGCCUAUAAGAAAGAUGAGAAGAUACGUCUCCUGGAAUUAGUUGCUCUCUAUGUAAAUUGAUCUUUAGCAAGAAGCCCUCCCUCAGCUAUUUGAUAAUGACAUAGGUCCCUUGCGUAUGCCUUAAUUAGCUUUUUUUCAUCUCUUUCUGAUAUGCUAUCUUCCUUUAGCCGGACUUCUCCCGCAUUACUUUUGAUCAAGAGUGGGCGAGUACAACUAAAGUAAUGCAACCCUUUCUUUCCUUAAGAGAGUUCAGCACGGAUCAAGUUUCUUUCCUUAAGAGUUCAGCACUGAUCCUUCUCUCUUCUUUUUGAAAAGCAAUCUACUUAUCCUUCUUUCUCUAUUAGGAAAGGCAAUCAAUCCACUACCACUAAUCCUAGAAAAGGCAAUCAAUCUACGACCACAAAUCCUUAUUAAUAAGUGCCCUUCCUAUCAAUGGAGCAUCCAACCACUCCUUGCCUUGACCGAGUCUAAAGAAAGGGGAGCGCCUCGUCGUUUAGCUAUCGAAAGCCAGCAAGAAAGCACUUUCGCACAGAAUCAAUCACAUAGCAAAGACUUUUCCCUUAAGGCUACUAGCCCCCCUUUUCCAUAAAAAGAAGCAAAGCGCAUGGCGAUAAAGUUAAUGAAAUCAGGCAGACCGAUGGAUAAGAGAGAGAAGAAUCCCAGAGAAUAGGCUCACAAGAUAUCAGAUGAAGACUGAAGCGAAUCCGUGUUUUUUCUGAAUGAGAAAACAUCCUCCUCUCCUCUUCUUUACCCCACUGAGCGGUAUAAUCAUAAACAAGUAAUCUCCAAUCCACUAAUAGGUUGAAAUUGGGUAAUCACUUUCGAGCACUGAGGAUUCUUUAAUAAAGCAAACCCUCCAGUCCUAUCUUGCUACCACUUGCAAGUUUAGAGAUCCUACAUUCCCAAUGGCAGAGAAGAAGGAAGGAUUCAAGCUGGAAGGAAGCAAUAGAGAUUCAUCCAAUAUAGAGAGAUUAUACCUUUAGAGAUUCUCUUCGAUCCCCUAAAGGGAAGUGCCCAUGCAAUAGAAUCCAUGUUUAGAAUCCAAGCGAGCUACUGUCCGGUCUAACAGCUACGCGACUGGUCUAAGAGAUAACACAUUUGUUUUGAUCUUUCUAUUUAAGUACUAGUGGCGUUACGGAUGAAGACGGGGAGUGAGCAGGUUAGAAGUCGGGCAGCAGUCUUAUCACUUCCAGGAAGACCUAUAUAUUUGGGAGUAGAGCGGCAGAAGGAGGUCUUUCUUCCCCAAUAAAUCUACAAAGGUGACUAGUCUAAGAUCGUAGACAAAAGACGGAUCAUCAAUUCUUUUGACUAUUUCUUUAGAGCCUAAAAUGAGAAAGAAAUGCUAACGAGGCGAGGGUCAAUGAGGCCCACGAAGGAAACCAGCAGCGUAAAGGCUCUUUCAAAGGGGCAGGGACGUAGCAUAGGCCGACUCAUAGGAUAAGACUGUGCGUGUGAAUCCCGAGAGUUCCUUUUCAUUCCAUUCCUAAAAGGGCUGGCUACUCUUACUAUUUGGAAAGAGCUUGUUUAAAGCAUCUUCUAUUGCUCACUUUAUCAGUCGAAUUCCAGUUUCGGGAGAUCACCUUUCUCAGGGAAGAAUAAAAGAAAGCACUUACUAACUGAAUGACUUAAAAAGAAAGCACUUAUCAUUCAGGAGAGCGGGAAAAUCCAGAUUCAUUAAGUUUGGUCCUAGAGAUCCUUACUCAAAAGAGAAGCAUAUUACAAUCAAUUGUAAGGCAUGAACCAAAUGGGGGAUUGACUUGAAAGUGGAGCGUCGCGAUCUAUUGGCAGGAAUGAAUGUGAAUGAGAGAAAGGAAGAAUAGAAUGAUUGCGCUUGCCCCAGCUCCAAAGGGGGGAAUAACAGUAUGGAAUAAAAGAAGACGUCGUGGGCAGAUAGAAGACUUACCGGAGUACAAAGGAAUUCCUUGCUCCACUAGUAUACAACUUUCCAUGUAGAUAUUCAAUGGUAUAUAGGCCCGAAAGCUAAGACGAAUUCGAAUUGACAAGAUGUGAGUAGUGGCCAAAAAGAGAACUCCCGUGGACUCACCACUACAAGUUUUGGACUCGCGCCUUGCUUUGAACUCAGAAAGAGAGGCAUAGACUCUCACAAAUGUUCAUAGACAAAUAGACUCUCACUAAUGUUCAUAGACAAGUAAGGUAAGGAAAAAGAUAGAAGGUAUAUAAGACCAAAGGAGGCUAAGAAGAAAUAAGAUAGCAUGUUGGAAGAGAGCAAGUAGGAGUGAGAAAAGCGAAAGAUGGAAUAUGACUAAAAGAAGGAAGCAAGCAAAUUCAAGAUGAGAGCAGCUAGCAAGCAUAAGUCGGAACUAAGCAAGCAGGGAAAGUAUAAGCGCCUUUAAUUGCGCUCUAGUACAGGGAGAAGGAGAAAGCUGUGGUGGGGACAAAGGGACAAGAGGGUAUCGAAAUGCAUUCCUUUGCUUGACCUUUUAGAGAUUUAUCCUAUAGUCUCCAUAUAAAUACCUAUGUCUGGAUAGAGUCGGGGUGGAUAAGAUCAGAUCGACACUAUUAAAAGAGAGAAUAAGUAUAUUAAAAGAAAGAAAAAGUGGAGGGUCCAUAGCAAAAGAUAGAUUUACAUAGAAAUCACUAAAGAAAAGGAUGUGUGCCCGGGGCUUGAAUAUCAAAUCUCCAUUUAGCCAAUACACCAGGUAGACGUUAAGCCCAUAAAAGAACUCCAUCUCUGGUCGCCGACAGUCAACGCAACACAAUCACCUCUAUCGUAUGAUUGACUUAGCGCUGAACAUGAAAGAUUCCCCAGGGGCUUAUACUCGGCUGCCGAACCGUACGUGACUCGUAGGCUCUUCUAUCGAAGGUCGAAGCUAUGCCUGGACUAUCUCCUUUUAUAACUGGCACAAGAACUCCCAGCUCUACUGUAUGGAAUGAAGUCUUUGAAUCCGGAGACUAGGAACUCAACAACUUGUCCACUGGCGCAUAUCAAAGAAAAGUCAGAGAAGAAAGAGCAUUAGCCCAAGCUAGAGCAUUUAAGGUUUGGUGGCAAUAGGGAACCACACUCAACACAAGUAAUGCAUGCCUUUCAUCGGGGUAAAUAAAGAGCUAUCGUACUAGGGUGGAAACAGGAAUUGGGACUGGGCCUCCCGGCUUGAAACUACUGGAGCUUUAGCCAUUAGUCUAGCUCACCCCUGAUUUGUCCUGGAUCUUUUAGCGAAUUGGAUGAUCGGUAAGAUAUUAGUUGUCCCCUCGCUCUCCUAUAUAUGAUCCCUAUAUAUUUACCUUGAGCAAGUGAAUUUCCCAACUCCAAAUCUAUAAAGCUUUUCAAUCGGACAACUUUCGAAAACUUCAUGUUUUUCGUCAUCAAGAGUCAGAGGAUGCUUUUAGAGAGUCCUCAUCAGUCAGAACUUAUAGAGUAGUAAGUAAGCAGAUAGAGUAGUAAGUAAGCAGAUAGAGUAGUAAGUAAGCGAAGAUGGGCGGUGGUGGGGAGAGGGAAGAAGCUCACGACGAAUCGUUUCGGCCACUCGACGGAAAGGGAAAGCAAAAACAAGUCCCUUACCUUAUUUUGAUGCUUAAAGAAAGCAAGCAUGGUCACAUCUUAAUUGAAAUAGAAUUGAGAAAUAUGCCGCUGGUAGCAUUCCCUGACUCGGUUCCGCUGGUAGCAUUCCCUGACUCGACGAACUAUCCGAAGCACAGGAGUGCUCUUUCCUUGAGCCCCUACUGUACCUUAACUUAUUGUUUGGCUCGAGUUAACCAGGGCGAUGGCCUUCACCUUCCCCGAGCCCCUCCGCGCGGUGAUUGAUCCCACCGCAUUUCUUGCCCUGCCCACUUCUUCGUCAUCAGCCCCCAAAGUCGGGAAUCGCCGAGAGACGAGACUCAGGGCUCUUCCAGAAGAAAAGACAAGGAAAGAAAGGAGUCUGAUCUCUAUAGAAAAGAGUUAUGUCAUAACAAAUAAAUGAAUCGAUCUAUUGGAAUCUGUCUCUAUAUCUUCAUCUAUGGGGUCAUACUUAUGGUGCUUUUUGUGUACUGGUUCCCUCCUCGCUGGGAGAGGGGAUCUUCCAUUCUUCCUGUGGAUCCAGCAAGAGUCUCCGAGGACUUAGUAAGCUCCGACUCCAACCUUCUAUGAAAAAGCCUGACUUUAAGUGUAAGCUCCGACUCCAACCUUCUAUGAAAAAGCCUGACUUUAAGUAAUCUUGCUUUCUGUGGUGAACAGGUCGAGGGGAGCAGCAGCCGAAACCGUGAUCUUUAGCCCAAAAUGUCAUUUUCGUGUCUUUAUGUUAGCCAGUUAGUUCCAAACAAUAGGAACGGGCAUCUUUCGGGAGUAGCAGAAGGAUAAGAGCAACGGGGGCAUGAUCUGAAAGUGUUCUACUCAGGUGCUGAAACAGUAGUGUGGAGAAAGGGAACUUGCCAGCAUGAAUUGAUUAGGCUUCUGUCCUACCAACCUUGCUCGGAUACAAACAUCUUCCUAUUGGUUAUUACACCAACUUGAUACCAAGGAAACCAGCAUUGCAUCUAUCCGUUUUGCUAGAGAUAUGGCUUCAUGGAAAUCGUCUAUGGAACGGUACCGAAGGAGGGUCGGGUCCCUCUCGUUUGCAUAAAGGAGAGUGUUGAAAUCAAUCCAGAUUAGCCAGCAGGGCAUUUCUAUUGUUUGCGAUAGCACGUGUAGCUGCUGCCAUAGUUCUCUGCGGUCAACAAUCGAACACCUUGCGUACACAAAGGAUAACACAGCCUCUAUCUACCGUGCGCACAAUUUGGUUCCUGAAGGUAACCGAUUUGCUCAUGAGAGUGCUGAAGGGUUAGCUGAGUUGGUAACUUCCUUUUUCUUACCUAAAUCUUUACACAUUUUAGAACAAUGAAAUUAUCCAUUCCCUAUCGCUUGCAAAGAGCCUCCGCUUUCUUGCUAUCUAUCAGAAGUUCCUUAAUUGCUAUCAAUUGAACUCUAUGCUCCAUGAUAAGCGUCUUCCGUCUUCUAAGCGCAAGAAGUGAGGUGAGGGAAUUCCUAUAUUCUUGUGGGGGUUGAGACUAUCCUCCGAGUACUCUAACCACCUAUAGGCGAAUGAAUAAUGUUAGAAAACAGAGAUGAGAUGCAUAGGCUAAUAAUAGGCUAAUUAAUUGAUUAUUUCAUCCAUACAGAGAGCGGGAAGUCCUUUAUUCUAGUUAGUAUAGAGAAGAAGGGGGCUCGGCCUGCAGGAGUACUUAAUCUCGGGACUACCACGAGGCUUGCCUUCUUUAGAAAGACCAAAAGCCAACAAUAAGGUUCCAGACAUCAAUGUACCUCGGAAAUGAUUAGUUCGGGCGGUGGUGCAUCCACUCGUUCUUAGAGCGACUAUGUACCCACUCGUUCUUAUAGCCUAAUCAAUCUUAUAGUAGUGAACGGAAUACCAUAGGAUUCACUGGGCAGUAAGCAAGACGCAGCCUACUUAACGAGCGUAAGUAUUAGUUCUGGAACCAAAUCUUAUUAUUAGUAGAGUCGUUUGAUUGGGCUCCCCACUAGGGUAUUCUUUGACUUAUUACUGUGAUUCUGAGUUUGGGCAGUGCUAAUGCUAUUCUGACUUUGGACGGUGCCAAGCCAAUGCUAUUCAAGCCAAUGCUAUUCAUAUCAAGUUGACGCAGUACCAAUGCAAUUCAUAUAAGAUAGUUAGUUUCCUCAGUGCAAAUAAUAUUCGAUUCUCUUAUAAUAUAUUAGAACAUAGUUGAUUCCGUGCCAAUGCUACUAUGACUUGAGAGUUGAAGUAGAGGAGAGAGAUGCCUAGCUGACUUGCACAAACUAACCCACCCUAGAGCGACUAUGUGCCCAAGCAUUCGCGGACCCCGGGACACAAUUCCAUCAUUCAUUCAUAGGUCGUUGGUGCACCCAUGAAUUCAGUGAGCGAGCAAUCAUUCACCAUCACCAUCGUGUACGUGCAUCGUGGAUGCGAUCAACGUUCAUUCAUCGUGGCGGCGAUCAACAAUAACAAUAAAGCACGGUCAGGCGACUCAGUGUUUUCUUUUAGUAACAUAAAUAAGUAUGUGAACGACUAUGUCUAUGUGCCGUGCCCAAUCAGUCUUAUGCAGCGGGAACAAUCAUUCUGUGAACGGACCCCCGUGAUGGUGAUUAGGGUUUUGUCAACGUCAACAACGAGCGUAAGCGUAACACGUACCUCCGCGGCCAGGGUUCAAGUCAAAACACCUUUAGUAGCACCUAGAAACCGAUCCUCUCUAUCUGAGCGAGACAAUAAACAACCAUUCUUUACGUACCACUACAUAGUCGUCGGGUCGGGGCGGGGACCAUCUCUCAUUCAUCGCAGGGACGGGACAUCGACAUCUCCAAUCUGAAUUCCAUUCACCGGUUUUUCAAAUGGAACGAUAGAUCAAAUCAAGUUGUUUCUACAUCGGUUAUGUGGUGAGUACGUCGACCUUGACCACGUUGGUUGUUUCCUUUCAGAACGAAUUGACUCCCAGCAUGAAGUAACAAACAGCAGACUUAAAGAUAGAUCGCUCGCUUAGUGCAGUAAAGUGAUAUUAGGCGGUUCCUGUUUCAAGUGUAAGGUAAGAAAAUCCAAUCAUAGAAUAUGAACGACAACUCAUAUUUGUGAGUAAACAACCAGCUUCCUGUUAUUACCCAACUCCGCGCUCACUGCGAAACUCUACAAACUCACUAAGCGGUAGCACUUAGGCUUUCAAAGGUCAACUCGCAGCUGUAAACAGAAGAAGCAAGGGCAGUAAAGAGCAUUAAUCUGGGCUACGGAUUAGUUGGUAAAGAUGGAACCUUCCGAGAUAAAGAAGUCGUGGUGUCUGUCUUUACAUAUUUCAUAGAUUUAUUGACUCCCGAACCCUUUCCUCUACAUCAGGAGAAAUCUUAUCCCUUCGUUCCCACCUUAUAGUAUUGGAUAUUUUCAUAAGAUUCCGGUAAGGGCGGUUGAGCAGUUGAUUCAGCAAUUUCUAGUGAGGAUGUUAGUUGCUAAAGAAAGAUGAGAUGGGACGGACAGCAAGUACUUAUAAGAAGAGGCAGAGUUGAGCACACAUGAUAGAAAGAUGCAACUGCCCUUAUUCUAAUUGAUUCUAAUUAAAUAGAGCAUCUCCUCUUAACGUGAGUUUUAGUAUGCCUAAAGUCCUUAGCCGAUAUUCUCGUAAAGUCAAGUAAGCUGCUUUGUUACUCAAUUACAUUAUAGGAGAGAGAUAAGAAUAGUGAGUUUCCUGUAUUUCCAUGAUAGUGGUUGACUUGAGACUUAAGCGUUACGUGGGCAUGAGAAAAGAGAUGAUCUUCUGGAUACGAUGACACUUAUUGACUUUGUUGUCUUAGCUGCCGUUCCCUUUU